UAAACUGUCAUAUAUAGACGGCAACCUCGUAUUUUCAAAAAGUCAUUUGUAACUCUCUCUCUCUCUCCCUACAGGAUCUGAAAACGUAUUAUAACUCCAAAGGCAAACUCAAUCUUACAAUCCUCCUCGAAGAAUCUGAAUGUCUUAGCUUCUCAGUGCCUUAUUUAUUUGUAUUAAUGGAGGUUUGAAUUUUGAUUAUUCAUAUUUCAAAUAUAAAGUAUGUUUAUUUUUUAAAUUUGAAUCUUAACCAUUAGAUCUUUAUAUAUAUAUAUAUAUAUAUAUAUAUAUAUAUAUAUAUAUAUAUAAUUUUAUAACCACCUAAUUGAUCUGAAUACCUCGGCAUGAAAAUCUAUAAUACAAAAACUUAUUCCAUAAGGUAAGUUAGUCAAAUCUUGUUUAGAAUAGAUUUGAUUUUUCAAUAGUAAACUAGAAGCACCAUCUACUCAAUUUUUAUCUCAAGUGGAAUUAUUUUUCCACUUGUUAAUUAUUGGUAUGACAAUUAGCAGAGUUCAAAGAUAUGCGCAAAAUUAGUCCAGAACCUAAUAUAUAUAAAUUAAAUACUGAUGCAGCACAUUCACAACACACUAAUAAAAAUGGUAGUGGUGGAAUAUUUAGAGAUCAUGAGGAGAAUUGGAUAGUGGGCUUUUCAGGUACAGUACUCUCUCAAGCGCCUAUUACCACAGAAAUACUUACUCUAUUACAGGGACUUACGUUGGCGGUACAAUACAAUUUAACACCAAUUCAAGUGGAAAUUGACGCUAAAAAGGUACUUAGCCUACUCCAGAAUAAUAAUAUAGUACAUGCUAAUCUACUAAAUAAUUGCAGGCACCUACUGAGACAGCUACAUGAUCCGUCAGUAAGCCAUACGUACAGAGAGCAAAAUAGAUUAGCAGAUCGACUAGCAAAUGCAGGAAGCUU
rnacentral:lncRNA from 1 species